AAAGUGAUAGCGUGAAAUAAAAAAAAAAAAAAAAAUAAAAAAAAAAAUCAUUUGUUUAUUUGUUGUCUGUGCCAACAAUUUUCUGCAAUUGUUUCGAUUUUAAAUUUCAUUUAAUUUAAAACGUAGACGCUAGUUGCAGCUUUGAAGAUCGUCAGCACUGGCAACAAUCACUUAAAUUGCCCAAAUCUAUUGACGUUUAACAACCACAGCAGCUUAUAAUCAAUUAAAGCCGAACGCUUUACAGUAUCAUUGCAUGUAAUUAAUCUAUGGAAAAUAUUCGGAUUCCUAGAGCGGCGAGAGUAGAAUUGAAAUAGAGAACAAUCAAACGAAUAACGAUUCGAAAUACGAAUCGGUUUUACAGAUUUUCUGUAUAGGCUCUGCAGGCUCUGUGGGCUUUGCUUCGCAGCGUUGGCGUAUCGAACGACUUUAAAUUUGGCACGAUAUCUCUAUGUCUUGAGAGGACAAACUGAUAAAGACAGAACUCUGCAAAAUCCACCCGUACUCAGGAUAACGACGAUGAGUAUAAAAGAUUCGGUCACGAUCGCAGAUAAUUUUCUUACUUGUUGAUUAUCAUUCUUUUGACGGAUAAAUCAAAUUGGAAACAUAAAUAAACGCAAAGAUCGAUUGUUAUUCAGAUAAUUUAGUUGAAAGAUUAACUGCAUCAGUUGCCUAACCUUAUGAAGUUUGAUCAUCAUUAAGAGGAACCGAAAAAGUGAGUUUUGUUUUUUUUGUUUUUUUUUUGCCCCCCGAAAAAAGAAGACUUUUGCGUGUACAGUGCAUUUCUAUUCAAAUGUUGAUUUGUAUUCGUUUAGUCAACUUGUUAAUAGCGUCUUGUUAUACCCUACACACUUUAGUUGCGGUGAAAGGGUAUAAUAACUUUGUGCUGAUGCCGGCAACACGCAGAAGAACUUGAAAUAAAUUGAACAUUUCUUAUAUCAAUCGAGUCGGAAAGUGAUUCUAAGCUUGUCUGUCCGUUCGUCAGGCGUUUAACGUACAGAUCGUAAUUUUCGAGAUUUCGAUUUGAUGAAACGUUGGUAGACCAACGUGUUUUCGCCCGCAACGAUUUACGCUUACUUUGCAAAAGGUUUUAUAUGAAUAAUGAUACGAAGCGACAUUAUGUAUGUAGGGUAUUUUAUGGUAGGUACUUGUUUGAAAUUCGCAAAGAGUAUGGCAUUUUAUUGUAAAGAAAAAGAAGAAGAAGAAGUAGAAAAAAAGCUCGUAAGACCAUCUGCGCAUUCCAUAAAUAAAAUAUAGUAAACGUAUAUAAUACUUCGGUAUUUUAAUUGUCUUGACAAGAUUGUCGUGAAAUUUAUUAUCAUUACCACACAUUUGUUUAUUUAUUUAUUUAUUAAGUUGUUUUUUUUUUUU